rnacentral:ncRNA from 1 species
UCUCAACAUGGGAAACCUCAUUCAGCCUGGACACGGACAGGAUUGAUUGAUUGAUAGCUCUUUCUCGAUUCCGUGGGUGGUGGUGCAUGGCCGUUCUUAGUUGGUGGAGCGAUUUGUCUGGUUAAUUUUGAUAACAAACGAGACUUUGAAAUGCUAACUAGUAGAGACCGACUUUCACCAUGUUGGCCAGGCUAGUCUCGAACUUCUGACCUCAAGUGAUCCGCCCGUCUCAGCCUCCCAACGUGCUGGGAUUACAGGCAUGAGCCUUUGUGCCUGGCC